rnacentral:rRNA from 1 species
GACAUCCUGCCCUUGAACGGGUGGAGAUCAAAGCUGGGGAUCGCAAGACCCGGCGCUUGAAGAGGGGCCCGCGUCCGAUUAGCUAGUUGGUGAGGUAACGGCUCACCAAGGCGACGAUCGGUAUCCGGCCUGAGAGGGCGGACGGACACACUGGGACUGAGACACGGCCCAGACUCCUACGGGAGGCAGCAGUGGGGAAUUGUUCACAAUGGGCGCAAGCCUGAUGACGCAAUGCCGCGUGGGGGAUGAAGGUCUUCGGAUUGUAAACUCCUGUUGCCAGGGACGAAUGGCUCCGACCUAAUACGUCGGAGAAUGACGGUACCUGGUGAGGAAGCCCCGGCUAACUCCGUGCCAGCAGCCGCGGUAAUACAGAGGGGGCAAGCGUUGUUCGGAAUUACUGGGCGUAAAGGGCGCGUAGGCGGCCCGCUAAGUCGAACGUGAAAUCCCCAGGCUCAACCUGGGAACUGCGUCCGAUACUGGCAGGCUUGAAUCCGGGAGAGGGAUGUGGAAUUCCAGGUGUAGCGGUGAAAUGCGUAGAUAUCUGGAGGAACACCGGUGGCGAAGGCGGCAUCCUGGACCGGUAUUGACGCUGAGGCGCG